UGCAGUCGAACGUGAUCCAGGCUUCGGUCUGGUGAAAGUGGCAGACGGGUGAGUAACGCGUGGGAACCUGCCCUGUGGUAGGGAAUAACCGCGGGAAACUGCGGCUAAUACCCUAUGAGUCCUUCGGGAGAAAGAUUUAUCGCCAUAGGAGGGGCCCGCGUCGGAUUAGGUAGUUGGUGGGGUAACGGCCUACCAAGCCUUCGAUCCGUAGCUGGUCUGAGAGGAUGAUCAGCCACACUGGGACUGAGAUACGGCCCAGACUCCUACGGGAGGCAGCAGUGGGGAAUAUUGGACAAUGGGGGCAACCCUGAUCCAGCAAUGCCGCGUGGGUGAUGAAGGCCUUCGGGUUGUAAAGCCCUUUCGGCGGGGAAGAUGAUGACGGUACCCGCAGAAGAAGCCCCGGCUAACUUCGUGCCAGCAGCCGCGGUAAUACGAAGGGGGCUAGCGUUGUUCGGAAUUACUGGGCGUAAAGGGCGCGUAGGCUGUGCUGUAAGUCAGGCGUGAAAGGCCCGGGCUCAACCUGGGAAUGGCGCUUGAUACUGCGGCGCUGGAAGGCAGGAGAGGAUGGCGGAAUUCCCAGUGUAGAGGUGAAAUUCGUAGAUAUUGGGAAGAACACCGGUGGCGAAGGCGGCCAUCUGGCCUGCAAUUGACGCUGAGGCGCGAAAGCGUGGGGAGCAAACAGGAUUAGAUACCCUGGUAGUCCACGCUGUAAACGAUGAGUGCUAGACGUC
rnacentral:rRNA from 1 species